UGUGUACAACAACAUACUGUAAUUCCCAAGGAGUUAAAGAUCUUUUAUUCAGAUUCCCAGAGCUGGCAAACAGAGAGGUGUUCAACUAAAGAUGCUGGGUCUCGUGCUAGCCAGCUCUCUAUGCAGGCAAUUGAUCGUGGGAAAUAAGAUGAACUUCGGGUCCCUUUCCACUGAAAAAUUUUCUCUAACAAAAACAUGAAUAUUUGACAAAGCAAGAAUGCUAUUCCCUGGCUGGAUUUCACCUCCUGCAUGUGCUUCCCAGAAGAGUUGGCAUCCUACGUGGAGGAUCAGUGGAGGGGACCGAGUCGCUCUCCCAGUGCCCACCGUGGCUGUGGCUGAGCUGUGGAGCCGCCUGCACUGAAGGCGGGUCAGGGCCGCGUUUGCAGCAGGUUUUGGGAACAGAGCAGACCGGCGAGCAGAUGAUGAGGACCUUCCAUCCCCACACAAGCCCCGGGCCGCCUCGGGAGGAGGGCAGGCUCGGCCCCUGCUCUCCACGUCUCACACAGCCCCGUGCAAGCAAAGGGAUGGCCCAGGAGCAAGGCCCUGCUCAGGGCCUACUCAGGGCCCUGCUACCCCACUGCGCUCACUGGAGGCCGCAGCCAUCCCCUCUCCACCUCUCUUGCUUCCUAUUUUAAAAGAGAUAAACAAGGGCAGGAUUUGCAGGCAGCUGUGGCCUUUUUGAGUGCAAUUCACCACAGGGAGGCAUCUCGGGGCGGCUCAGAAAUGACUAGCAUCGAGGAGUCACAACAAUUUGGCUGAGAUCAUCCCAGUGCCAACACAAGGCAGUCCCUGGGUAGGCUACACAGCUGAUGCGAAACUGAUGCUACACUUGAUCUUAGCUGAAAGGCCAUUAAAAAGAAAUCAGAAGAGACUGGCUAAAAGCAAUUUAUGGGGUUACAAAAUGAUGUAUUACAUGCACCAUGGCUCCAGGUUUGCGGUAAUUUAGGCUGGUAUUGAUUGAGGAGAGACUGGGGCAUAUUCCACCACCUUUUUAAUUUCAGUCUGAUUUGGCCGUUGCUUGCAGGUCAGCAGGCAAUUUGAUGAGACAAAAACAAACCAAGCAUUAGAGCAGCCUAAAUCACCCACUUUUAGAAGUACCUUGUAAAUAACUUUAAGGCUGAAGAAGGAGAACAGAGUGAAAGAACUGGCUAUUAAGGAAAACAAGACUGAAGUUCCAGACCAAGAAAAAAUGGUUUCAUGGCACCAUUAAGAAGGAAUAUCACUCACACAUACCAUCAUUGCCUGCCUGUAUUUUCCCAGACAAAUAUGCUGUCUUUUUCCUUGUGUUAUGGUGCUAAUUCUGAUUCAAUGUGAACUGAUUAGGUAUCAAAAUAAUGCCAAAGUAUACACAGGGCUGCUUACAGAGGCCUCUAAUCAUAUCAUUGCAGCAACGGGAUGGAUGACUUGGUGUUGUUCCAGCCUAUUCACAUCAUACAAUACUGCAGGACUGCCUCUACACCCUGAGAAAAGGGACAGGCUGCAAAUCCGAGACUAAAUCUCCCACGAGAGUAAAUCUGGGGUGAUUUUCUCCUGCAGGUAGUGAUUACAAUAUUAAGUGUACUGGUGCCUGGAGGAUGAAGGUGAAUAGAGAAAACCCAUUGUGAGAUCAAACACAUGGCUUAUACCAACCAUUGG
ensembl:lncRNA